rnacentral:lncRNA from 1 species
UUCAGUUUAGGGUUUAAAACCCUAAUGCUGAUUGCAUGGAAAAGUUUAGUUUAGGGUUUAAAACCCUAAUGCUGGUUGAAUGGAAAAAGUUCAGUUUAGGGUUUAAAACCCUAAUGCUGGCUGAAUAGAAAAAAGUUUAGUUUAGGGUUAAAAACCCUAAUGCUGACUAAAGGAAAAAUUCAGUUUAGGGUUUAAAACCCUAAUGCUGAUUGCAUGGAAAAGCUCAGUUUAGGGUUUAAAACCCUAAUGCUGGCUGAACGGAAAAAGUUCAGUUUAGGGUUUAAAAACCCUAAUGUUGACUGCAUGAAAAAGCUCAGUUUAGGGUUUAAAACUCUAAUGCUGGCUGAAUGGAAAAAAGUUCAGUUUAGGGUUUAAAACCCUAAUGCUGACUAAAGGAAAAAUUCAGUUUAGGGUUCAAAAUCCUAAUGCUGACUGCAUGGAAAAGCUCAGUUUAGGGUUUAAAACCCUAAUGCUGAUUGCAUGGAAAAGUUUAGUUUAGGGUUUAAAACCCUAAUGCUGGCUGAAUAGAAAAAGUUCAGUUUAGGGUUUAAAACCCUAAUGCUGACUAAAGGAAAAAUUCAGUUUAGGGUUUAAAAUCCUAAUGCUGACUGCAUGGAAAAGCUCAGUUUAGGGUUUAAAACCCCUAAUGCUAGCUGAAUGGAAAAAGUUCAGUUUAGGGUUUAAAAACCCUAAUGCUGACUACAUGAAAAAAGCUCAGUUUAGGGUUUAAAACCCUAAUGCUGGCUGAAUGGAAAAAAGUUUAGUUUAGGGUUUAAAACCCUAAUGCUGACUAAAGGAAAAAUUCAGUUUAGGGUUUAAAACCCUAAUGCUGAUUGCAUGGAAAAGCUCAGUUUAGGGUUUAAAACCCUAAUGCUGGCUGAAUGGAAAAAGUUCAGUUUAGGGUUUAAAACCCUAAUGCUGACUAAUGGAAAAAAGUUUAGUUUAGGGUUUAAAACCCUAAUGCUGACUAAAGGAAAAAUUCAGUUUAGGGUUUAAAACCCUAAUGCUGGCUGAAUGGGAAAAAGUUCAGUUUAGGGUUUAAAACCCUAAUGCUGACUAAAGGAAAAAUUCAGUUUAGGGUUCAAAACCCUAA